rnacentral:rRNA from 1 species
UACAGAGGCCUCGAGCGUUAGGCGGAAUCACUGGGCUUAAAGCGUGUGUAGGCGGACUUCUAAGUACCUUGUGAAAUCCCACGGCUCAACCGUGGAACUGCUUGGUAUACUGGCGAUCUUGAGCCACUUAGGGGUUACCGGAACAAACGGUGGAGCGGUGAAAUGCGUAGAUAUCGUUUGGAACGCCAAUGGUGAAAACAGGUAACUGGGAGUGCGCUGACGCUGAGACACGAAAGCCAGGGGAGCGAACGGG